AGAGUUUGAUCCUGGCUCAGAUUGAACGCUGGCGGUAUGCUUAACGCAUGCAAGUCGAACGGUAACAGCAGAGCUUGCUCUGGCUGACGAGUGGCGGACGGGUGCGUAACGCGUGGGAAUCUACCUUGUAGUGGGGGAUAGCCCGGAGAAAUCCGGAUUAACACCGCAUAAUCUCUACGGAGGAAAAGGGGCCUCUUCUUGAAAGCUCCUGCUAUUAGAUGAGCCCGCGUUGGAUUAGCUUGUUGGUAGGGUAAUGGCCUACCAAGGCGACAAUCCAUAGCUGGUUUGAGAGGAUGAUCAGCCACACUGGGACUGAGACACGGCCCAGACUCCUACGGGAGGCAGCAGUGGGGAAUAUUGGACAAUGGGCGAAAGCCUGAUCCAGCAAUACCGCGUGUGUGAAGAAGGCCUGAGGGUUGUAAAGCACUUUCAAUAGAGACGAAAAGCUUAAGGAUAAUACCCUUGAGUCUUGACUUAACCUAUAGAAGAAGCACCGGCUAACUAAGUGCCAGCAGCCGCGGUAAUACUUAGGGUGCAAGCGUUAAUCGGAAUUACUGGGCGUAAAGCGCUCGUAGGCGGCUUGUAAAGUCGGAUGUGAAAUCCCCGGGCUCAACCUGGGGACUGCAUUCGAUACUGGCAAGCUAGAGUAUAGUAGAGGCAAGUGGAAUUCCGGGUGUAGCGGUGAAAUGCGUAGAUAUC
rnacentral:rRNA from 1 species